rnacentral:rRNA from 1 species
GACGAACGCUGGCGGCGUGCUUAACACAUGCAAGUCGAGCGGAAAGGCCCUACGGGGUAGCCGAGCGGCGAACGGGGGAGUAACACGUGAGUAAAUUGCUCCAGACUUUGGGAUAAGCCUCGGAAAAGGGGGCUAAUACCGGACACGACACAGCUACGCACGAGGAGUGUGUGGAAAGUUUUUCGGGUUGGGAUGGGCUUGCGGCCUAUCAGCUCGUUUGUGGGGUGAGGGCGGACCAAGGCCACGCCGGGUAGCCGGCCUGAGAGGGGGACCGCCCACACUGGGACUGAGAGACGGCCCAGACUCGUACGGGAGGCAGCAGUGGGGAGUAUUGCACAAUGGGCGGGAGCCUGAUGCAGCGACGCCGCGUGUGGGAUGACGGCCUUCGGGUUGUAAACCUCUUUCAGCAGGGACGCAGCGUAAGUGACGGUACCUGCAGAAGAAGCGCCGGCCAACUACGUG